rnacentral:rRNA from 1 species
CGGAGAGCCGUGUUCAAGGAGGUGAAGCGUGUGCUAAAGCCGGGGGGAACCUUCAUCCUGACCGAUUCCGUCCAGAUUGGAGACCGCGAUGCGAGGUUGAACCCCAUACUGGAAAUGUUUGAAAAGUUCGAUGAACCGUGGUACCCUUCGUAUCUGCGGGAGAACUUCGGCAAGAUCGCCACGGAAGAGGUCGGAGGCUUCGCGGCCGGAGAGAAAUACCUGAAUUCUUACACCAAGACGUUGACGUUCACGAGGUUGUAAUGAAACAGUAGUAGGAAGCAAGUGAUGA